AUACGGAGGGUGCAAGCGUUAAUCGGAAUUACUGGGCGUAAAGCGCGCGUAGGCGGAUAUUUAAGUCUCAUGUGAAAGCCCUGGGCUCAACCUGGGAGCUGCAUGGGAUACUGGGUAUCUAGAAUACAGUAGAGGGUAGUGGAAUUUCAGGUGUAGCGGUGAAAUGCGUAGAGAUCUGAAGGAACAUCAGUGGCGAAGGCGACUACCUGGACUGAUAUUGACGCUGAGGUGCGAAAGCGUGGGGAGCAAACGGGAUUAGAUACCCUAGUAGUCC
rnacentral:rRNA from 1 species